UAACACAUGCAAGUCGAACGAUGAUGCUGGAGCUUGCUCCAGUUGAUUAGUGGCGAACGGGUGAGUAACACGUGAGCAAUCUGCCCUUGACUCUGGGAUAACUGCGGGAAACUGUAGCUAAUACCGGAUACUUUCACCGGAAGGCAUCUUCUGGUGAUGAAAGAAUUUCGGUCAGGGAUGAGCUCGCGGCCUAUCAGCUUGUUGGUGAGGUAACGGCUCACCAAGGCGACGACGGGUAGCCGGCCUGAGAGGGUGACCGGCCACACUGGGACUGAGACACGGCCCAGACUCCUACGGGAGGCAGCAGUGGGGAAUAUUGCACAAUGGGCGCAAGCCUGAUGCAGCAACGCCGCGUGAGGGAUGAAGGCCUUCGGGUUGUAAACCUCUUUUAGCAGGGAAGAAGCGAAAGUGACGGUACCUGCAGAAAAAGCACCGGCUAACUACGUGCCAGCAGCCGCGGUAAUACGUAGGAUGCAAGCGUUGUCCGGAAUUAUUGGGCGUAAAGAGCUCGUAGGCGGUUUGUCACGUCUGCUGUGAAAAUCCAAGGCUCAACCUUGGACUUGCAGUGGGUACGGGCAGGCUAGAGUGCGGUAGGGGAGAUGGGAAUUCCUGGUGUAGCGGUGGAAUGCGCAGAUAUCAGGAGGAACACCAAUGGCGAAGGCACAUCUCUGGGCCGUAACUGACGCCGAGGAGCGAAAGCGUGGGGAGCAAACAGGAUUAGAUACCCUGGUAGUCCACGCCGUAAACGGUGGGUGCUAGCUGUGGGUCACAUUCCACGUGAUCCGUAACGAAGUUAACACAUUAAGCACCCCGCCUGGGGAGUACGGCCGCAAGGCUAAAACUCAAAGGAAUUGACGG
rnacentral:rRNA from 1 species